rnacentral:lncRNA from 10 species
UCUUCUGGAGUGCUGGAGGUAUUCUGUAUCUUUAUCUUCGGGGUGGAUUCAGGGGCAUAUAUGUACAUAAAAAUUCAUCGGGCUGCACACUUCAGAUUUGUUCGUUUUACUGUAUGUGUGUUAUAGCUCAUAAAGAACAAAAAGGUAUCCACAAAAGGAAGUUAUGCUUACACACAGCCAUGUCUGUCUGAACUUGUUAGGUUUAAAUCAACAUUAGUCGGCACUGAAAGCUCAUGAAGAAAAAACUAGAGUCUGCAGAGGAUUUUCCCACUGCUUCUCUCCUGCUUGUGCAAUCUCUGAAGGAAGUGAGGGCUGGAGGGGCUGUGAAUUUCCAGAAGCAAGGCUUGUGACAUUGCCUAUGUCGGGGGUCACAGGAGACAGGUGUGGUAUGGACAAGAAGAUGGACAGCAGAUCCUUGUGGUGCCUGUGUGUUUGGCAUGGAUUUGAAGGUGUUUGGGAAAGGGAGGAAAGAAGAAAAAUGUUUGAAGAAGGAAGGACGGGACCCUCGAUUUGGAAAUUAAAGUAUUCUAGGCCUGGACGCUGUGAGGAGACCAGCAUGAGCCAAGAGGACCACAGCAGCAAAUACCAAUACCCACCCACCCACCAAAAACCAAUAUCUCAUCCCUCCACUGGGCCCACAACAGUCUCCCACCUGCAGAGCUGUCAAAUUCCUGCCAGAUCAAGGUGUCCAAACCAAGCUGAAGAAUGACAUUUCAAGUAUUUUCUGAAGGAAGGGAAGGGAAGGAGGAAGGAAGGGCUGUGCAGUAAGUGACUGUUCUCACAGCUGUGAUCACGAGCCAUUGUCAUUCAAGUGCCCACCUUGUCUUGCUGUGUACUCAUUGUCUUCUAUCAAUCGGGCCAAUCCGAAGUCAGCAAUCUUGCAUAUGAGUCCAUUCCCCACUAGAAUGUUUGCUGAUCGCAGAUCUCUAUGGAUAUAAUUCAUGCGCUCGAUGUAAGCCAUUCCUGCAGCCACCUGUGGAAACCCAGGGAACAGGACAUGUUACACCACGACCCAAUGUACUUAGACACGUCAUUAAAUCUAUGGCACAUCAAGUUACCCUGCAGGGCCUACCUGUGCUGCCAUGUCCACAAGAUUUGGUAAUUUCAGAGCUCUUCCUUCUCCAUCUUUUAAGAAAUCCAGUAAACUUCCUAUGAACAAAACAUAAAAUCAUUUCAAUUUACUUUGAAAGAUAAUUCCCAACAGAGAGCUGUAUUUGGUUUUCUUAUUAAAAGUAAUAAGGUAGUCAAAUGGAAUAAUGCCAUCCACAUGGGGGGACAAAAAGGUUUAUAUAAAAAAGCAGGGUAGAAAAAAGUAUAGGCAUGGAGAAGUAACAGUUACCUUUUAAAAACAAACAGCAUUAAUUCCAUUUCUAGGAAUAACAACAUAUAUUUGAUAAAACUAGAAGAAAUGGGACUCAAUCUCCCUGUAUGUCAUAAAGAGGAACCUAUGAAGAACUGCACCUCUUCAAUCCCAUUCCCCAAUCACCCCUGCACAAAGAAUUGAUGUGGGGAAAAUACAGCCCAGCUGAGUGGUCCAAAACUGUGGUCCUGGGACCAGCAGCUACAAUAACACAAGGGAACUUGUUAGAUAUGCAAAUUCUCAGGUCCCAUCCCAGAUCGAGUAAAUCAGAAACUUUGAAGGUUGGGUCCAGAAACUUGGGUUUUAAGAAGGCCUACAGGUGAUUCUAAUAAUACAAGGUAAAGUUUGAGACUCACUAGCUUAGCUUAUUUACAGAUUUUGAAUCAAGAAAAGACAAUCUGAAGAAUAUGGGUGGGGCAGAUGGUUCCCCUUAAUUAGAUCACAGCCAGCCAAGCCUUAAAUCAGACAUCUGAAAUGAAACAUUGGAAGCUUCAGAGCCACUAUUAUAACACAGCCUAAGAAGGCUUAGAACUAACACCAAAGCAGGGAUAAUCAUUUGCAGAAGCUGGAGGCUUAUGAUGGUCAUCAGUGAUAUUUUAUGCUUUAAUCACAAAGUUAUUUACAAAAUAACCCUGGAUACAAAGGACAAACCGUUUGCCAGAAAAAAAAAUUCCCAUUAAAUUUUAAAAGAAAGUACAUGGAAAAGAAAAAUUACACUGGUAUCCUCUGAUAAACAAUGUAUUGCCUUUUAAGGCUGUUUCUUGUUUGGUUCAUCUAUUUUUCCAAAACAAAAUGAUCUCUGGCCUUAUCCCUAACAAUGCUGGUUUGAUUAGGAAGACAGAGGGGUUGUAGGGGAGAGAAUGUGAGAAUAAAUGUGGUCUCUGAAAGCAUGUAAUUUCAUCGCCUGACGUUUAAGAAGAGAGCUGGAAAUAAAAAAGAUGUUGAAAUGAUGGAGACUAAACUUAGCUUAGAGACCAGUGUCUGAUAUUAAUUGUUUAGCCCUGCAAAAAGGAAAUGUAACAAAAGCUACUACAUUCAAAAUAACAGCAAACUAUCAUAACCCUCCGUACCACCCUGAUAUUAAAAAUGAAUGUUUUAAUUAUGGAGAGGAGCUUGAAUUUCUGACACACAUAACAUGUAAAAAGUAUUUGGCAUUUCAUAAGGAUUUGGGGUGGGGUAAACGCAAGGUUAGUCUGUUUUAAAAAAUGUUUUCAUUAACGAGCACAUAACUGGUGGUUCCUAAUGGGAAUACUUGACCCAGGCAGAAACUAGAAAAGUAGCAAGUAGGAAACUUCCAUUUCUCUCCCCUAAACAACCCCUUAAGGCACUGUGAGCUGGAGACAGGAGAGGUGUUGCCCAACCUUUGUUCAUAUACUCGGUGACGAUGUAGAUGGGCUCCUCAGACACCACUGCAUAGAGCUGGACCAGC